UACGUAGGGGGCGAGCGUUGUCCGGAUUCAUUGGGCGUAAAGCGCCCGCAGGCGGCGGGCCAAGCCGCGCGUGAAAUCCCCCCGGCUCAACCGGGGGCGGUCGCGCGGGACUGGUCGCUCGAGGCCGGUAGGGGGGAGCGGAAUUCCGGGUGUAGUGGUGGAAUGCGUAGAGAUCCGGAGGAACACCGGUGGCGAAGGCGGCUCCCUGGACCGGUCCUGACGCUCAGGGGCGAACGUAGGGGAGCGA
rnacentral:rRNA from 1 species